GAUCAAUAGAGCUUCUUCUUCUCCGACGAUUGAGAAAACCCGCUGUCCUCCAUCGGAGAGCAGAGCUUCUUCUUCUUCUUCUCCUCCUCCGCCGAGCCCGCCGCCGCGCCAUCCUGUUCAUCUAUUGAAGACAUUUCCAAAUGCAUCGAAGUUUCUCAAGACACAUGUGGCUGGUUUUGAGGUAUGCAAUUCUCAAUUUGGAAGUUAUUCAAGCAGCAAUCUCUUUGGCCAAACAGGAAGGUCUUCUUGUUUCUUUGGAUUUGGCCAGUUUUGAGGUACUAACCACCACAAUUUGUUUUUCUUCUUCUUUUAUUAUUCUCUUCUAUG